CCUACGGGGUGCAGCAGUGGGGAAUCUUCCGCAAUGGGCGAAAGCCUGACGGAGCAACGCCGCGUGAUCGAAUGAAGGCCUUCGGGUUGUAAAGAUCUGUUGAUAGGGACGAAUAAGCAAUGCGAAUAGUUUUGCUUAUGACGGUACCCACGGCAUAAGCUCCGGCUAAAUACGUGCCAGCAGCCGCGGUAAUACGUAGGGGGCAAGCGUUGUUCGGAAUGACUGGGCGGAAAGGGUGUGUAGGGGGGGUAGGAAGUUAGAGGUGAAAUACCUAGAGCUUAACUCAGGUGCGGCUUCUAAAACUGGUGUACUUGAGAGCAGUAGAGGAAAGUGGAAUUCCAAGUGUAGCGGUGGAAUGCGUAGAUAUUAGGAGGAACAUCAGUGGCGAAGGCGACUUUCUGGACUGUAGCUGACGCUGAGGCACGAAAGUGUGGGGAGCAAACAGGAUUAGAUACCCCAGUACUC
rnacentral:rRNA from 1 species